rnacentral:lncRNA from 1 species
UCCGACCUCAUUUCUCUUUAAAUAAAACGAGAAAAGGGCUGAUGAAGUCAAAAUCUAGUGUCGAUUUCCCCCUAUUCUCGUCGAUUAGAGUGUAGAUAUUCAAGAUCGUUGGCUUAUCUUGUAGGUUUAUCUUGUUUUCUUCAAUCUCUUGUCGAUUUUGAAGUGUCAAAAAAUAUUUACGGACGUUUUUUUUGUUUACUGAUUUCAGUUCGAAGAAAUGGCUUUUGAGCUCGUUACACUGAGGAUGUUCCAUGGAAGUCUGUUACAACGAUAUUCUAUCAACUACAAAUGAGGUAUUAUGAUAGAGUACUUUGAUAUUGAUGUUGACAAAUUUUUGUAUUUUGAGUUUGUAGACUAUGUGAAAGAAAAUGGGUAUACUUGUGAAACAUGUGACAUUUAUAUGAGGCAACAUAAUUCUAGCACUUUGAUAAAAUAUUGGCAGAAUACAUAAAAUAGCACCUUGUACCCAAAUCCCUGUUACAUAUUUAUUGAUCACGGACAACCUUUUACACACACAAUCUUUUAAAAGUGUGUCAGUUACACACAAUUUUGAUUACAUGGCAAGAGCGUAAUUUACACAGAAAUUAGGCGAGUGAAUAGGAAAAGAAAUCUGUGAACUCUCAUAUGUAACUGACACAUGUCCAUUUUUUUAUUUUUUAAUUGAAAACAUCAUCUUCUUCGUCAAGAGCUUAAACAAACAGCUCUUGCAACAAUGGAGAAAUUAUUCCCUUUUCUUUUUCUCCAAAAUCUCACCAUAGAAAACUUCCCUCCCUCUCACAUAGAAAACAAACAACCAAUUUGUUGCUGCCCUUCCCCCUUUUUCCAUUUUCGUCUUCUUCCCCACCCAUUUUCCUCAUCUUCCAUGUCCACUAUUUUAAGAAUAACAAUGAUUUAAAAUAGCUUUGGAAGAAAUUGGUAAAGAAAGUUAAAAGAAAUCUAUAUCAAGAGAAUUUUAUAAAUCUGGGUUUGAAACUAUACCACGAAUCGAGCAAUCAUGGAUUUGGCCAUAACCAACUUUAAUGGAGUUUUGAGUUUUGCAUUAUAUUUCUCGUGUCAUAUUUGAAUCUAUACUCACAAACUCGUGAUUAAUGUACUUGAGUCCCUAAUUUUGCUUUUAUAAUAUGAAGGUGAUUAAAUGUGGAUUUUUGGUGGUGUCUGGCGUAAGGCUGUAUCCGGUUCCGGUUCUGGGUCUAUUUGGGUCUGCGGUUCCGGUCUGGCGGUUCCGGAACCGUCCAGUUCCGGUUCUGGCAGUUCCCGGCGGUUCUGAUUUUUUUUUUAAAUCAAUAUCUUGUAU